AGAAUGAGAAGGAAAAUGAUAAAAAGUUAGAAGAACAGCUGAAAGAUGAGCUUCUUCUUUCUUUCUUCUUAUUAUUUUCCUUCUCUAUCUUCUUCUUCUUCUUCUAGUAUUCUUCUUCUUCUUCUUCUUCUUCUUCUAGUAUCCUUCUUCUUCUUCUUCUUCUCCUCCUUCUUCUUCUUCUUCUUCUUCUUCUUCUUCUCCUUAUUGUUCUUAUUCUUGUUCUUCUGACUUCCUUAUUCCCAUUCUCCAGAUUCGAUUCACUUCAUGUAACCUGGCUUGAUGGACUCCUAGUGUUUAGUUUUUA
rnacentral:lncRNA from 1 species